rnacentral:rRNA from 1 species
UACGGAGGGUGCAAGCGUUAAUCGGAAUUACUGGGCGUAAAGCGCGCGUAGGUGGUUAUUUAAGCUAGAUGUGAAAGCCCAGGGCUCAACCUUGGAACUGCAUUUAGAACUGGGUAGCUAGAGUACAGUAGAGGGUAGUGGAAUUUCUUGUGUAGCGGUGAAAUGCGUAGAUAUAAGAAGGAACAUCAGUGGCGAAGGCGACUGCCUGGACUGAUACUGACACUGAGGUGCGAAAGCGUGGGUAGCGAACAGG